CCAAGGUGAAGCCUCUGACUGGGACUAAGUCGUAACAAGGUAUUCGUAGGUGAACCUGCAGGAGGAUCA
rnacentral:rRNA from 1 species